AUGAGAAGGCAGUUGUUUCACAGAGCUCUGUGGGAACCUUCAUCAAGGCUGCUCCAUCUUAGAGCCUACUUCCUGCUCCCUGGCAGGCUGUUCUUCAGAGCCUCACCAUCACUGACAAAGGGGCUGGGCCCAGGGGCUCUGAGCUCCAAUUCCAGCCCCACUGAGAUUGGACUGAAGACUGAAUUUGGAGCUGAGAGCUAUACACUGAUAACUAGCGCAAGGUUAGAAAGAACAAUGCCACACCAGAGCUGAGAAAAAGUGACCCAGGAGGCAAUUUCUCACAAUAACUCAGUGAGUCUUAUUAUCCCCAUGUUACAGAUAAGGAAAAUAAGGCACAGAGGGUUUAGUAACUUUCCUGAAGUCACAUGGCUAGAAAGUGGGAAAGUAGAGGUUUUAACCCUGGAAAUUAGGCUCUAGAAUCUUUGAUUUGUAACCACUAUGUUAUGAUGCUCAAGGUUGUGGGAUAAUUAAGUAAUGAUAGCUAAUGUUUAUGGAGAAUUUACUAUAUGUCCUACAUUAUGUUGAGUACUUUAUAUCCCUAUUCUCUCUCUCUCUUUUUAAAGUUUUUAUUUAUUCAUUCAUAAGAGGCACACAGAGAGAGGCAGUGACACAGGCAGAGGGAGAAGCAGGUUCCCCACAAGGAGCCUGAUAUGAGACUUGAUCCCAGGACCCCGGGAUCAUGACCUGAGCCAAAGGCAGAUGCUCAACCACUGAGCCACCCAGGCGUCCCUAUCUCUGUUCUCUUUAAUCUCUCUCACAUGCCUAUGACACACUAUGGCUAACCCCUCUCUUUUAGAGACAAGGAAAUUAGAGCUUUUAGGGGUUUUAUUACCUUGCCCAAUGCUGCACAGCUUGUAAGUAGUUUUGUCUCCAGGUCUUCGGCUUCUAGCCUGAAUACAUACGUAACUAUCUGGGUCUCUUUGUAGAAGGAGCCAGAGAGGAAAGAACACAGCAACCCAAAUCAUCAAAGGCAGCUUCAGGAGAGAGAGGCGGCCUAUGCUGGACUUUAAGGUUUGGUAGGAUUUGAAUAAACAAAAGGUACAGAGGAGGUUUGCUUAUUUG
rnacentral:lncRNA from 12 species